CAGUCGCCGCGGUAAUACGGAGGAUCCAAGCGUUAUCCGGAAUUAUUGGGUUUAAAGGGUGCGUAGGCGGCAUGCUAAGUCAGGGGUGAAAGACGGUGGCUCAACCAUCGCAGUGCCUUUGAUACUGGUGUGCUUGAAUGUAUAUGAGGUAGGCGGAAUGAGACAAGUAGCGGUGAAAUGCAUAGAUAUGUCUCAGAACACCAAUUGCGAAGGCAGCUUACUAAGGUAUGAUUGACGCUGAUGCACGAAAGCGUGGGGAUCAAACAGGAUUAGAUACCCCUGUAGUCCCUGUCUCUUAUAC
rnacentral:rRNA from 1 species